GCUCCUGUGGCCUAGUGGUUAGAGCAUUCGCCUCGGAUGUGGGAGGUCGCGGGUUCAAACUGCAGCCGAGUCA